AUUCGUGGCCUCGGGAGUCCCGGCAGCGCUUGUUGGCCUGGACUACGGUGGUGGUCUUGGGGCCGCGUGAGAGGAACUUCGGGGACCGGCUGAGUGCCUCGUGGCACCCGCUUGCUGCGGGCUGGAGAGGAGGCGCGCGGCCUUCCUUUUGACUCAGGCCGUGGCCGCCUUGUCGUGGGUCCUGUGUCUUUGCCGACGCGGGGCCCUCGGCCUGGAGCGCUGCCCACCCGCCUCCGAGCUGUGGCGAGCCGCUGCUCAUCCUUCUAAGACGCUGAACCUGCACCUCGUGGAGCUCCUACGGCUCCAUUACCGCAGUCAUCGCCCGGGGAGCUUCCCCCGAGGCUGCCCCUGGAGCUGGGGCUCUCACAAGGACUCAAGUGUUUCAGCCCCUUCCUGUCCCGCUCAUUCAGCCGGUCUGAACCAGUUUCAUGGCUUGCAACGCCAUUGUAACUCACUAAUCCCAAUUAUCAGUAUGUAGCUUGGAUCAAUUCCGUGAACCAGGGUUUCUGUCGAAUCUCAAACGUUAAGGGUCCAAAGCCAUGCUCCCUGUUUCCCCUCUAACCUGCUCCUUCACCACCGUUCCCUAUUUGAUGUAAACGGUACCAUUUUUACUCAGCUGCUCAGACUAAAAGCCGUGAGUCAGCCUUGCCCUGUCUUGCUUCCACAUCUGUUCUGACUACACCUCUCCGUUAUGUAUACACAAUAUAUCCUAAAUCUGACUUCUCAUCUCCAUUCCUACACUUCUCCCACAAGCCACGAUUACUCGGGCUGAAUUAUUGCAGUAGCCUUCUAAAAGUUGCCUCUGUGUCAACUCUUGCCCCCAGUACUUUAUUCUCAAUACAGCAGCCAGAGAGAUCUUCUUAAAAUCUAACUCAGGGCGUGAGCCACCGUGCCCGGAAAUUCUUUCAAGGCUAAAUAAUAUCCCUUUGUAUGGACAUACCAUAUUUUGUUUAUCCAUUUAUCAGUUGAUGAACAUUUGGGUUGUUUUCACUUCUGCUAUUAUAAAUAUCCAUGAGUACCUCUAUGAACAAGUUUUUGUGGGAACAUGUGUUUUCAAUCCUCCUAAGAAUGAAGUAGUUGAGCCAUAUGGUAACUCAGAGUUUAACUUUUUGAGGAACUGUCAAACUGUUUUCCAAAGCAGCUACACUAUUUUACAUUUCCACUGGCAAUUGUAUGAGGGCUCCAAUUUUCUCCACAGCCUCACCAACACCUAUUAUUGUCUAUCUUUUUUUGUUUGUUUGUUUGAGACGGUGUUUCGCUCUUGUUGCUCAGGCUGGAGUGCAGUGGCGUGAUCUUGGCUCACCGCAACCUCCGCCUCCCGGGUUCAAGAGAUUCUCCAGCCUCAGCCUCCCUAGUAGCUGGGAUUACAGGCAUGCACCACCAAGCCCGGCUAAUUUUGUAUUUUUAGUAGAGUGGGGGUUUCUCCAUGUUGGUCAGGCUGGUCUCAAACUCCCGACCUCAGGUGAUCCGCCCUCCUUGGCCUCCCAAAGUGGUGGGAUUACAGGCGUGAGCCACCGCACCCCGCCAUUUGUGUAUCUUUUUGAGACAGGGUGCCACUCUGUCAUCCAGGCUGGAAUGCAGUGGCCCUAUCAUGGCUCACUGCAACCUUCCUGGGCUCAAGCAAUCCUCCACCUCAGCCUCCCAGGUAGCUGGGACCACAGGUGCAAACCACCAUGCCCAGAUAAUUUUUGUAUUUUUUUGUAGAGACAGGGCCUUGCCAUGUUGCCCAGGUUGGUCUCAAAUGCCUGGACUCAAGUGAUCCUCUCGCCUUGGCUUCCCAGAGUGCUGGAAUUACAGGCGUUGAGCCCCACACCCAGCUAAACACUUUUAAAUUGGGCAAUUUUUCUUUUUAUUGUUGAGUGGCAAGAGUUCUUUUAUAUAUUCUAGAUACAAGUCCCUAAUCAGAUCUAUAAUUUGUAAAUAGUCUCUCUUAUUCAGCGGAUUGGUUGUCUUUUCACUUUCUUGAUAGUGUCCUUUGAAGCACAAAAGUUUUUAAUUUUUAUAAAGUCCAGUUUAUUCAUUUUUGUUGUUGUUGUUGUUUGCACUUUUGGUGUCAUAUGCAAUAAAGCAUUGCCUAAUCCAGGAUACAAAUAUUUACCCAUAAUGUUUGCUUCUAAGUUUUAUGUGUUAGCUCUUACAUUUAGGUCUUUGAUUUAUUUUGAGCCAAUUUUUGUCUAUGGUAUGAGGGGGACUUCAAAUCUUGCCUGAAAUAGAGAUGGGAUUAAGAAGCUUUCAGAUCAAACAGGAGAUGGAGUGAUUACAGGAGGAAGAGUGAGAUGCAUUCUGGAAAGUAAGCAAUUCAGUGUGGCCACAGCCUAAA
rnacentral:lncRNA from 1 species